rnacentral:tRNA from 1 species
UGGGGCUUAGUGGUAGAGCACUUGCCUGGCACGCAUGAAGCCCUGGGCUCCAUCCCCAGCA